rnacentral:rRNA from 1 species
AUUGAACGCUGGCGGCAGGCCUAACACAUGCAAGUCGAGCGGAUGAAGGGAGCUUGCUCCUGGAUUCAGCGGCGGACGGGUGAGUAAUGCCUAGGAAUCUGCCUGGUAGUGGGGGAUAACGUCCGGAAACGGGCGCUAAUACCGCAUACGUCCUGAGGGAGAAAGUGGGGGAUCUUCGGACCUCACGCUAUCAGAUGAGCCUAGGCCGGAUUAGCUAGUUGGUGGGGUAAAGGCCUACCAAGGCGACGAUCCGUAACUGGUCUGAGUGGAUGAUCAGUCACACUGGAACUUAGACACGGUCCAGACUCCUACGGGAGGCAGCAGUGGGGAAUAUUGGACAAUGGGCGAAAGCCUGAUCCAGCCAUGCCGCGUGUGUGAAGAAGGUCUUCGGAUUGUAAAGCACUUUAAGUUGGGAGGAAGGGCAGUAAGUUAAUACCUUGCUGUUUUGACGUUACCAACAGAAUAAGCACCGGCUAACUUCGUG